rnacentral:rRNA from 1 species
GACAGAGGGUGCUAGCGUUGUUCGGAAUUACUGGGCGUAAAGGGCGCGUAGGCGGCUCGUUUAGUCGGGUGUGAAAUCCCGGGGCUCAACCCCGGAACUGCAUUCGAUACUGGCGGGCUAGAGACCGGAAGAGGGUCGUGGAAUUCGCAGUGUAGAGGUGAAAUUCGUAGAUAUUGGGAAGAACACCGGUGGCGAAGGCGGCGACCUGGUUCAUAACUGACGCUGAGGCGCGAAAGCGUGGGGAGCAAACAGG